UACGUAGGGUGCGAGCGUUGUCCGGAUUUAUUGGGCGUAAAGGGCUCGUAGGCGGCCUGUCGCGUCGGAAGUGAAAGCCCACUGCUUAACGGUGGGUCUGCUUCCGGUACGGGCAGGCUGGAGUAUGGCAGGGGAGACUGGAAUCCCUGGUGUAGCGGUGGAAUGCGCAGAUAUCAGGAGGAACACCGGUGGCGAAGGCGGGUCUCUGGGCCAUUACUGACGCUGAGGAGCGAAAGCGUGGGGAGCGAACAGG
rnacentral:rRNA from 1 species